GACUAACGACCUUCUUCUUGCCUUCUUCAUUGCUUCUUGUACGUCAAACCCACAUAUUUGAGUAUUAUACUCAUAUUUGAUCCUUUCCUUUGUUCCCUUUUCUUGGAUUCUUCAAAAUCAGCCAUAGUUAUCUUCGGAUUUGUCUCUAAGCUUUUGAUUCUUCCCAGGAUACAAAAUAUAUCAAUUGUGAACUUUCGUGGUCGUGGAUAUAUACAUCAGGAGAUACACUUUCUCCCUUAUCUGAGACAUGGGAAGCCGCUUAGAUCGCCAAGACUCUGAUGUUGUAUUUCAGAGACUUCUUCCGGGCUGUAUGUGGAGCAUGCUUCAUAUUCUUGAUUACCACCACUGGCAUAGAGUCAAAAAGAUGUCUCCACGCAGAAAAUAUAGGAGAGGGAAACAUUCCUUAUGCUUAAGAAAUCCAAAAACUGUUUCGUUUGAGCAUUAUACAGAUGAAUUGCAAAACUAUUUGGAUGCUGAUGCUGUCCCCUUAAUGGACAAACAGAAAACAACAAAUGCUACCCAAACUGAUAGGAUUUCUGGCAAAGCCCGCAUAAAAGCAUUGAUUGCUAAAGAAGCAUCUGCAAGAUCACGGUUGCAGAGAACUCAUUCAAUCCAUCAUUUAGGAACUUCAGAUGGUCUUGAUGGAAUAAGCAGUGAUUGGACAAAUCCAAUCAUAAUCCUCCAUAAGAGUGCUGAUCCUGCUGCCUCUGGAUUGCAGAUUCAAUCUCUGCCAAAAAGCCCAAAGGAAAAAGUCACAUACAGUGGAAAGUAUAAUCUGUCUGACACCAUGAAUGAUCAGGGUUGCUUGAAACAACACUUCCUUUCUGAAAAGCAAGAACUUUCCACAGAGAAGGGUGAUAAAUUAAUGAAUGCCUCAUUAAACCGGAACUUUUCUGAUGCUAAACAGCUUUUUAGAGGAAUUUCGAGCGCCGGAUUUAUGGAAUAUGUGGAUGUUCUGGAGUUAUUUAAGGUAAACAAGAAGUUGUUCCUGGAAAUACUACAGGAUCCUGAUGUUCAAGCUGCCAAUAACAUCCAUGUUCAGCUGAAUUCCCAUAAAACAGUAAGAUUAAAGAAGUCAGGGUCAUUUCCUUUAGCUGAUUCCCCAAGCACUAGAUUUUUGAGGCCUAGUACACUUGAACACAAGCAGAAAGAAAUUUGGUCCUACCCGAGAGAAGAAAAUUUUCCUGCUAAGAUUGAAGUGCCAAAGUUUGUUGCGUCCAACUCUUCGGAAGAUUCUCAAGGUAAGCCAAUGGGUUUUAAGUCUGAUGAUAGUGGAGUCCUUGCAGUUACUCAGGAAACAGACUUUUCUUCUUUUGCAUCGUCUAAGGGAUCAAAUAAACAUGGGUGGCAUCAAUCAUUUAUGAUUCAUUUGAAGGAUGUUAUGAAGAAAAUAAAACAUACACUCAAAGAGAGCAAAAAGGAGGAUAACCACUCAUCAAUGAAUACCAUACUCCAUGGGGUUCCUUCUAGUUGUAAGUUGUCCACUGAUGAGAAGGAUACUCCUGUAAGGUUGAAGGAGUUUAUAACUCACAUAGAUGGUAAAGAAAACUUCAGAAGUUGUCAUGAAACAAAUGAUUCUGAUAAUGAUCUCAGCAAAGGUCGACUCGCUCACAUAAGAAGAAUAUCCUCUCUAAAUGAAUCGGUUUAUCAGUAUGCUCGGUUGUUUGAGUUCAGUUUAACCAAAGAGGCUAAGUGGCAUGACUAUCAAUCUAAGAGCUUAAAAUUGACAAACGAAGAUAAGUUUCCAUCAACUGGUUAUAGUUUUAAAUCCUUCAGAAGGAGACUUUCUCUGCCUGAUCUUGAAUCCUUUUGUCCCUUGCCAAAUGAGACAUCACACAAUUCACUUCAUUCAGGGAUGCCAAUUAAGACUUCUUUUGAUUAUGAUACAAAUGCCGAGAAUUAUAGUUGUAAUAACUUGAAGUCAGUAAGCAUAGGCGUAGAUAGAAAACAAUUUGAACCACCAGAAUCUUUUGAACAGGCUGAACUUCAGAAAAACAUGGUAGAGGGACCCAACAGCUGCAAGCAAAAUGAAAAUUCUGGUGAUCCAAUAGUAGGUAUUGAGGAGGAAAUUUCCAACAUUGGAGAACAGUAUGAGGAAACAGUUGAGCCAGAAAAGCAGAAGUGUAGUCCUUGCCAAGAUCAGGAGAAAGGUUCCGCGAUAAUCUUCAGCGAGGAGCAUGACCAAAAAGGUCCUAAUUCAGUUACUAAGGAGCAUUUUAAAGAUGAAAUAACUAGCCAAACUGAGUGCCUAGUCUCAGAAGGUUGUGAGUUGGACUCUGGGCUCGUUUGUAUUGAUGAACCAAAUACUUCUGUCGAUCUACAAGACAGGUCCAGCAGAGGUUCCUGGACAGGAUGUAGCAGUUUAGACUGUGAGAAGGAUGAAAAUGCAUACACAAUGGCUGGUGAUCACCCCUUUCACUUUGAAUCAAAUGAACUAGAUGAUACUGAUUUCAGUUAUGUGAGAGACGUUCUUGAAGUAUCUGGCUUCAUUGAGCAAGGGUGUCUCGGGACCUGGCACUCGCUAGAACAGCCAUUAAGUCCCACAUUGUUCAAGGAAUUGGAGGCUUAUUUACACCGUGAAUUGGAAUGCUCUUCAGAGGACGUUGGAAGCAAUUGUGAUCACCAGCUUCUGUUUGAUUUGAUCAAUGAGGUGCUACUUCAGAUAUAUGAGAGCUCAUUAGCCUACUUCCCAAAGUCCUCCUCCACUCUACGUUUGCGUCCAUUACCCAAGGGAAACCAUACUCUUGAGGAAGUCUGGAAAAGAAUUAGCAGGCAUCGGAGCCCAAGAUUAAAGAAAGAGCAAUCAUUGGAUGAUGUCGUGGCUCGAGACUUGGCAAAAUAUGAUAAUUGGAUGAACCUUCAGUUGGAUGUUGAGGACAUAGCACUUGACCUUGAAGAUUUGAUUUUUGAUGAACUUCUAGAUGAAGUUAUGCGUUCAUGAGGAAGUCAAGGCCAGAUAUGAAGCUACCUUCAUAAGGAAUUCUUGUGCAUCUGCAUCUAUGUCAGCCUUGUAUAUGAAAAUUUUGUUUCUUCACAAAUCAUUCUUUCUUUUUCAAGGACAUCUUGGUUUCUUGAUUGCCACAAAUGCAGGGGAUAAGAAAUAGUUGUAAUGUUGCAUUAGCUUUCUUGGAUCCUUUCUAUUACAGGUUUUCAAGUUUUCUUGAAUGUGAAAUUUAGGAAGAAAUAUUGAUAUCUUGCAUCGUGCAGGCAUAGUUCGAUGUAAUGUAUAGGUUUGUGGGGACUCUUGUAUGUAAUAGUAAGGUUAUUGGAAGAGCUUGUUUAUUCUUUGAUGGUGCUUGCUAGUG
rnacentral:misc_RNA from 1 species